GGGGCGAAAGACUAAUCGAACCAUCUAGUAGCUGGUUCCCUCCGAAGUUUCCCACAGGAUAGCUUGAACGCCGACGGUUUUGUCAGGUAAAGCGAAUGAUUAGAGGCCUUGGGGCUGAAACAGCCUUAACCUAUUCUCAAACUUUAAAUAUGUAAGAAGCUCUUGUUGCUUAGUUGAACGUGAGCAUUAGAAUGAAGCGUUACUAGUUGGCCAUUUU
rnacentral:rRNA from 1 species